GAGGGAAGAAGGGAGGCUGAGCAGCCAGGAGACUCCCAGCCACCAGCAAGUUGGUUCAUUCCUUAAACAGCUUCAUGGAGGUCCAGUGCUGGGCUCAGAUGACCUGGGUAAAUCAAACUUGCUGCCUGCCCUUAUGAAACCCAUGAUCUGCUACGGACCUGUGGGCCUGGAGGUCAUGCCCCUGCAUCUGGAUCCCUCUGGGACCUGUGAAAUGUACACCCCCAGGCCUGCUCUCUGGAAAUAUAAAUCUGUGGUCCAAUUGCUCUAGCUAAGACUUCAAGUAGUAUAUCUAACAGAGUUCCUGUUGCCUCCAGGUCCUUCUAUCCAACAUCCCUUGGGAACAACCUAAGAAGAGUUUGACUA